rnacentral:rRNA from 1 species
CCUACGGGAGGCAGCAGUAGGGAAUAUUGCUCAAUGGUGGAAACCCUGACGCAGCAACGCCGCGUGAAGGAUGAAGGUUUUCGGAUUGUAAACUCCUUUUGUUAGAGAAGAUAAUGACGGUAUCUAACGAAUAAGCACCGGCUAACGCCGUGCCAGCCGCCGCGGUAAUACGGCGGGUGCAAGCGUUACUCGGAAUCACUGGGCGGAAGGGGCGCGUAGGCGGGAUAGCAAGUCAGAUGUGAAAGACUAUGGCUUAACCAUAGAACGGCAUUGGAAACUGUAAUUCUAGAGUAUGGGAGAGGAAGGUGGAAUUCGUGGUGUAGGGGUAAAAUCCGUAGAGAUCAAGAGGAAUACUGAUUGCGAAGGCGACCUGCUAGAACAUAACUGACGCUGAUGCGCGAAAGCGUGGGGAGCAAACAGGAUUAGAUACCCGAGUAGUC